GACGAACGCUGGCGGCGUGCUUAACACAUGCAAGUCGAACGGAAAGGCCCUGCUUUUGUGGGGUGCUCGAGUGGCGAACGGGUGAGUAACACGUGAGUAACCUGCCCUUGACUUUGGGAUAACUUCAGGAAACUGGGGCUAAUACCGGAUAGGAGCUCCUGCUGCAUGGUGGGGGUUGGAAAGUUUCGGCGGUUGGGGAUGGACUCGCGGCUUAUCAGCUUGUUGGUGGGGUAGUGGCUUACCAAGGCUUUGACGGGUAGCCGGCCUGAGAGGGCGACCGGCCACAUUGGGACUGAGAUACGGCCCAGACUCCUACGGGAGGCAGCAGUGGGGAAUAUUGCACAAUGGGCGGAAGCCUGAUGCAGCAACGCCGCGUGCGGGAUGACGGCCUCCGGGUUGUAAACCGCUUUCGCCUGUGACGAAGCGUGAGUGACGGUAAUGGGUAAAGAAGCACCGGCUAACUACGUG
rnacentral:rRNA from 1 species